GUGGGGAAUCUUGGACAAUGGGCGAAAGCCUGAUCCAGCCAUGCCGCGUGAGUGAAGAAGGCCUUAGGGUUGUAAAGCUCUUUCGGCGGGGACGAUAAUGACGGUACCCGCAGAAGAAGCCCCGGCUAACUCCGUGCCAGCAGCCGCGGUAAUACGGAGGGGGCUAGCGUUGUUCGGAAUUACUGGGCGUAAAGCGCACGUAGGCGGACUGUUAAGUCGGGGGUGAAAUCCUGGGGCUCAACCUCAGAAUUGCCCUCGAUACUGGCAGCCUUGAGUACGGGAGAGGUGAGUGGAAUUCCCAGUGUAGAGGUGAAAUUCGUAGAUAUUGGGAAGAACACCAGUGGCGAAGGCGGCUCACUGGCCCGUAACUGACGCUGAGGUGCGAAAGCGUGGGGAGCAAACAGGAUUAGAUACCCUUGUAGUCC
rnacentral:rRNA from 1 species